UACAGAGGUCUCAAGCGUUGUUCGGAUUCAUUGGGCGUAAAGGGUGCGUAGGUGGCGAGGUUAGUCAGGUGUGAAAUCUCGGGGCUCAACCCCGAAACUGCACUUGAUACUGCCUUGCUAGAGUACUGGAGAGGAGAUUGGAAUUUACGGUGUAGCAGUGAAAUGCGUAGAUAUCGUAAGGAGGACCAGUGGCGAAGGCGAAUCUCUGGACAGUUACUGACACUGAGGCACGAAGGCCAGGGGAGCAAACGGG
rnacentral:rRNA from 1 species